rfam:Capsicum annuum cultivar Zunla-1 chromosome 6, whole genome shotgun sequence
GAAAGCCGUGUGCAAUGAACAGUGCAAGCACGGCUUGGGGAGGGAUCUUUACUUGUUUAUUUAAUUUAAGAUUAACAUAGUUGUCCAGAUGUUGUGGGAAAUACAUUAUAAUAUAUUAUUCAAUUCCCU